rnacentral:rRNA from 1 species
UACGUAGGGGGCAAGCGUUGUCCGGAAUUAUUGGGCGUAAAGAGCGCGUAGGCGGUCCGAUAAGUCGGCUGUGAAAGUCAGGGGCUCAACCCUUGAAAGCCGGCCGAUACUGUCGGACUAGAGUCCGGAAGAGGCAAGUGGAAUUCCCGGUGUAGCGGUGAAAUGCGCAGAUAUCAGGAGGAACACCGAUGGCGAAGGCAGCUUUCUGGUCUAAGACUGACGCUGAGGUGCGAAAGCGUGGGGAGCGAACGGG